UCGUGCUCGUGCCGCAGCCAGGCUGCCUAGUUCGUGGCUAGCCAAACGGGCUGCUGUCUGCUGUCUUCUAGAGCUCAAAAGGGCGCAAGGAGAAUGUGUUUCUGAUUUUUUUGUUUUUGUUCAACUAAGAUCCAAAAAGAUAAAAACGAAAUUGGCAAAUUUCGGUUUUUAUGACAUAUCUGCGGAAGUAAUCGGAAUUUUCCGAGAUCCCAUGAUAGACAUCCUUAUCUUGGACACAGUGUAUAUUUACCGUGUUGUCAAGACAACGUACCAUUACUAUUGAUAAGUGAACAUUAAAGAACUUGUUACGAACGAUGAUUUAAAAUUAAAAAAACUAUCUGGUGAAAUGCAAUUGACAAGGGCCUCACGACGAGAUAAGAUGUAAAAGGCAUGUUAUAGUUGCGUCGGGAGACCUAAGCAAAUUAAAAGUACCUACUAUUCUUAGUACUAUUCCUAUGUAAUUACUAAAUAGUUUUGUCAAAUAAAAAUUGACAGACCCAUCAUACUCUGGGGUCAUUAAAAAUAGAAGCAACAUGUGUAAA